GAUGAACGCUGGCGGCGUGCCUAAUACAUGCAAGUCGAGCGAACAGAUGAGGAGCUUGCUCCUCUGACGUUAGCGGCGGACGGGUGAGUAACACGUGGAUAACCUACCUAUAAGACUGGGAUAACUUCGGGAAACCGGAGCUAAUACCGGAUAAUAUAUUGAACCGCAUGGUUCAAUAGUGAAAGACGGUUUUGCUGUCACUUAUAGAUGGAUCCGCGCCGCAUUAGCUAGUUGGUAAGGUAACGGCUUACCAAGGCGACGAUGCGUAGCCGACCUGAGAGGGUGAUCGGCCACACUGGAACUGAGACACGGUCCAAACUCCUACGGGAGGCAGCAGUAGGGAAUCUUCCGCAAUGGGCGAAAGCCUGACGGAGCAACGCCGCGUGAGUGAUGAAGGUCUUCGGAUCGUAAAACUCUGUUAUUAGGGAAGAACAAAUGUGUAAGUAACUAUGCACGUCUUGACGGUACCUAAUCAGAAAGCCACGGCUAACUACGUG
rnacentral:rRNA from 1 species